rnacentral:rRNA from 1 species
ACAGCAGCCGCCACGGGAAUACGUAGGGUGCAAGCAUUAAUCGGAAUUGCUGGGCGUAAAGCGUGCGCAGGCGGUUAUAUAAGACAGAUGUGAAAUCCCCGGGCUCAACCUGGGAACUGCAUUUGUGACUGUAUAGCUAGAGUACGGCAGAGGGGGAUGGAAUUCCGCGUGCAGCAGUGAAAUGCGUAGAUAUGCGGAGGAACACCGAUGGCGAAGGCAAUCCUCUGGGCCUGUACUGACGCUCAUGCACGAAAGCGUGGGGAGCAAACAGGAUUAGAUACCCCUGUAGUCCCUGUCUCUUAUAC